rnacentral:rRNA from 1 species
AUUGAACGCUGGCGGCAGGCCUAACACAUGCAAGUCGAACGAGUGGCGGACGGGUGAGUAAUGUCUGGGAAACUGCCUGAUGGCGGGGGAUAACUACUGGAAACGGUAGCUAAUACCGCAUACCAUCGGAUGUGCCCAGAUGGGAUUAGCUAGUCGGUGGGGUAAAGGCUCACCUAGGCGACGAUCCCUAGCUGGUCUGAGAGGAUGAGCAGCCAAACUGGAACUGAGACACGGCCCAGACUCCUACGGGAGGCAGCAGUGGGGAAUAUUGGGCAAUGGGCGAAAGCCUGAUGCAGCCAUGCCGCGUGUAUGAAGAAGGUUUUCGGGUUGUAAAGUACUUUCAGCGGGGAAGCGUUACCCACAGAAGAAGCCCCGGCUAACUACGUGCCAGCAGCCGCGGUAAUAC